rnacentral:lncRNA from 1 species
GCGGGCGCCGCUCGCCUCCCGGAGCCCGCCCGCCUCCCGCGCGCGCUCACACUCGCGCCUCGCACACGGCCGCCCCCCGCACCGCCCCGCCACGCACACCGCGCUCGGCGCCCCCCGCCGUCGCCCGAGGCUGCCGCGCGCCGCGCGGGUCACGCCCGCCCCGUCCCAUCGCGCCCCGGCUCUGCGCCGCAGCUCUCGGGUCAGCGGCCUCCGGGUCCCGGCGGGGAGGUGCGGAGGGCAGGGCUAGCGGGAGGGUUGGCGACCGGCGCCAGAAACGCGGAGGCCCGGGGAAGGCAGCGCCGUCCUUGCGCCCUAGCCGAGCCGGGAGCGCUCUGGGCGCUGGGCGCGGCGGGCGCGGGGCGGCGGGCGCGGGGCGGCGGCGGCCCCGGGCGGCUCUCCCACUAGGGGUAGCUGUUGCCUGAACGCCGGAGCGCUCCCCUCUCGCCGCUUGCCUCGGCCGGCGCAGCCCCGGCCGCCGGGCGCACCCGUCCCGUGCGUCCCCGGACGUCGCUGUCUGCCCCGGGAACGUCGGGACUGGAGCGCCCGCGCUGAGCCACCUUCACCGACCCAGAGCGCUGCGGCUCGACUCACCACGGAGGCGCUGGGACGCGGGGAACCAGGCGAUGCCCCUGCGGCCUGGGGCGGCGGCGUUGGGUGCUGCAGAGCCCGGGAACUUCCCACCCAGAGGAAAGGCCGCUUCAUCCCGGACCCCGCUGUUCUCCGCGCCCCCGGCACUGCCCAUCAGCACCGUGGGUAGGGGUCUUUAGAGCCUCUGCGGGCAGCCCAGGGAGACCACCAACCCAUAGGCCCUUGGGCCCCAGGGAGGCUCAGGUGAGCAGCGCUUGUCCUCCGGACUGUUGGCCGUUCUGGCGGAUCUGCUUCUGUUCCUCGGGCCAGCCGGCUCCACCCCGCGUCUCUGGAUUCCGGGACAUCGGACAUCUGGCUCCCACCACGCCUUGUGCAGGCCUUCUCCUCGGCCUGCACCUCCCUCUGGGUCAGGCCUGCUCCACCCCCACCGUCUCCCUCCUCGUGGCCGAGGGCCGGGCACCUCUCACUACUGGUCUUGUGUCAGCUGCUGCCCAGACUCUGCCUCUCCCAGGCCGGCCCAGCCAGGAUCCUCCGCAGUGACGAGCCUGCCCCCUGCGCCCCCGAGGAAUCCAAUAAAUCUUUGUGAAACCAGCUACCCGAGUGCA